GCCCAGACUCCUACGGGAGGCAGCAGUGGGGAAUAUUGCGCAAUGGGCGAAAGCCUGACGCAGCGACGCCGCGUGGGGGAUGAAGGCCUUCGCGUUGUAAACCCCUUUCGGCNGGGACGAAGCGAAAGUGACGGCACCUGCAGAAGAAGCGCCGGCUAACUACG
rnacentral:rRNA from 1 species